rnacentral:rRNA from 1 species
GAUGAACGCUGGCGGCGUGCCUAAUACAUGCAAGUCGAGCGAACAGACGAGGAGCUUGCUCCUCUGACGUUAGCGGCGGACGGGUGAGUAACACGUGGAUAACCUACCUAUAAGACUGGGAUAACUUCGGGAAACCGGAGCUAAUACCGGAUAAUAUAUUGAACCGCAUGGUUCAAUAGUGAAAGACGGUUUUGCUGUCACUUAUAGAUGGAUCCGCGCCGCAUUAGCUAGUUGGUAAGGUAACGGCUUACCAAGGCAACGAUGCGUAGCCGACCUGAGAGGGUGAUCGGCCACACUGGAACUGAGACACGGUCCAGACUCCUACGGGAGGCAGCAGUAGGGAAUCUUCCGCAAAGGGCGAAAGCUUGACGGAGCAACGCCGCGUGAGUGAUGAAGGUCUUCGGAUCGUACAACUCUGUUAUUAGGGAAGAACAAAUGUGUAAGUAACUAUGCACGUCUUGACGGUACCUAAUCAGAAAGCCACGGCUAACUACGUG